CGGCAAUGCUGGUGUUGCGUACAACACGACACGUAAAACCCGUUACAAAAAGGUGGUGGUAAAUAAGACCCUAAAACCUUCCCUGCCACCGUCUGCGUCUCUACCGGACCCGCUUCCGGAGCCCCUUCACCUCAGCCCAACGCAAAUCCCUCCGCGCUCGCGUCACUUCCGGAAGACUCAGGUCGCGACUCCUCCAAAUACCCGGAUGUAACUGUCAUGGCUGCCAUCAGUGAGGGACCGCAGUAGAGAUCGAGUCAAGAGCUGCCCGGAAAGCGCUCAGAGUUGGGGUGUCAAGGAGGCCUGUCAAAGGACAAAAGAUGAGAUUACUGGGCGGCAGGGUGCCCCAAACGUCCUAGGAACUGCGCCUCCGCGCUUCCUGUUAGCUUGCCGCCAAGUUUUUCUAGAGGAGUCGCUCCUUUUGGCAGGAGUGGCCUGUAGGUAUUUGUCUUCAGGUGAAACAGGAACAAAUGUGAGUUGAUUGGUUAACAUUUCCUAAUAGUUAGAACGACUUCUUAAGUGCUUAACUGUGUAUCUGUUGCAUUCAGAAUCUCAGUUGAAACCAUUUUUAUUUGUCUGAAAUAUGUAAUGAACUCAUAAUGUAAAAUAUACAUAUAGACUGUUAUUUUUAUUUAAAAAAAUACAGAAACUAAUAUGUAAAGCAAGUUGACCCUAUAAAACACAGUGUGCUAUAAUUUGGAUUUUCACUUAAACUCCCAAAAUUAAAAGAGCUGACCAGAAAGACUUAAAAAAGAAAUGUAGACAUUUACCCCUUCUCUAAACAUGCCAUUGUUUGAACAGAAAACAAAAUGACAUUGGAAAGCACCUGGGAUUUACUUUUACAGUUAUACUGUAUGCAAGGCACUGAGUUGAUAAUGGAUGAGAAAGUGCUUUACAACAUGUAAAGUAAUAUACUGAUCAUGAACAGUUAGUACUCUCACUUCUGACCAAAUCAUGUCUCCUUAUGGUACAUUUUAACCUCCAAAACUUGUGGUUCUUGUACAAGUAUUA
rnacentral:lncRNA from 1 species